GCUCUCAAGUCCACGGCUCCAGAGUUCCUCCCGACAGGAAUCUGUUCUGAAUAAAAAGGCAUCCGCAAAGGCUAGGCUGGCUAAGUUCAGAGAGAAAAUCUACAGCAAUCCUGAGCUACUUGAGGAGUACAGACGGACAGAGAGAGGUAUCACAAACGUAAGGAGAGUGGUAAAGUGAAGA